GAUGAACGCUGGCGGCGUGCCUAAUACAUGCAAGUCGAGCGAACGGACGAGAAGCUUGCUUCUCUGAUGUUAGCGGCGGACGGGUGAGUAACACGUGGAUAACCUACCUAUAAGACUGGGAUAACUUCGGGAAACCGGAGCUAAUACCGGAUAAUAUUUUGAACCGCAUGGUUCAAAAGUGAAAGACGGUCUUGCUGUCACUUAUAGAUGGAUCCGCGCUGCAUUAGCUAGUUGGUAAGGUAACGGCUUACCAAGGCAACAAUGCAUAGCCGACCUGAGAGGGUGAUCGGCCACACUGGAACUGAGACACGGUCCAGACUCCUACGGGAGGCAGCAGUAGGGAAUCUUCCGCAAUGGGCGAAAGCCUGACGGAGCAACGCCGCGUGAGUGAUGAGGGUCUUCGGAUCGUAAAACUCUGUUAUUAGGGAAGAACAUAUGUGUAAGUAACUGUGCACAUCUUGACGGUACCUAAUCAGAAAGCCACGGCUAACUACGUG
rnacentral:rRNA from 1 species